UUGGGCAGAAGAAGGCCCUCAUUUCAUGGUGACAGCUCUGAUGAGGAAUAUCUUCCACCAAUUUCUUUGCGAAUGGGUGGUGCACUGAAGGCAGCACAGGUAAUUGAUAAUCUGCCAACUAUCAGGAUUGCUGAGACUGUGCACGACCUGCCUGCCCCUGAAGUCCCUUCUGAUGAGCCCUUGAGUCUUAAGCUGCCAAUUUUGCCAGGCCCUCAGAAGGUCCUCAGGGAGGAUGACAUUGUUGGCGUCAGAGCAGCAGUGCUCUAUGAGAACUGCUUGAGGCAGCUUGUCACAUUUUUAACUCUGCCCGUUGACAGAUGCACUGGUGUCUUGAGGACUGGUUUGGUUUGUGACAGUGUUGCCCCCUUUGCAACAAACAUCGCCAUCAGGGGCAUUGCAAUGAGCGUUGAAUGGAUAAGCCUUGACAGUCACAUCAGAAUGUAUGGUAACACACAGCACUGUAUAUGCCUUGUGAAUUUAUUAGGCUACUCUUAUCUGACCAUUAUAUCUGCCCCAAUGGACAUUGCCAAUGGCGGUGGAACUCCCAGCCUGUGUUGAAGUUUGGCAUGCAGGCUGGGGACUUUCUUCUUUCCACAAACAUCUUACUCUCUGGAAACAACUACACUAAAGUUGCUCUCCUCUUCAAAUUCAUGAACAUGCGAAUGGUCAACCCUAACACACACUUCACCAUCCAGAACACCUAUUGUGUUGACGCUGUUAAAGAAUUCUGAGAAGAUAUCAGCCGACUUCAAGGGAAAGAUGUUGUGCUCCUAGGUGAUGGCAGAAAUGACUCACCAGGGCAUUCUGCACAAUACUGCAGCUACACGACCAUGGAGCUUGACUCUAAGGAAAUCGUCUAUGUGGCCACUAUAGACAAGCGGCAGACCAACUGGAACUCCAAUAUCAUGGAGAAGGAGGGUUUUAUCCAGACUGUGGACAAGCUUACCCAAGACAUAAAGGUAGUGGAGUUCUGCACGGACUCAUGUCCAGAUUGGAGCCCUUUUAAACCCAGACAAAGGCAGAUAUAAGGAUCUGAGAAUUCACCACAGCCUGGACAUGUGGCAUAGUGCCAAAAAUCUGUCCAAAAAGAUCUCUACCUCUUAGGAAGAAGUACAACAAAAAUGCAAGAAGAUAUAGCCUUUACGCCUUAAAGUGUGAGAAAUCAUAUGGUUACAUCCCUAAGUUGCAAGCACGCAUCUUAAAAGGGAGAGUCACAAGCGGAGUUGGGAUGCCGCGAUGGAGGACCCUACGCCCGGAUGACACAAGGCGGCUUGGUGGUGUGCCCCCGAUACCUCCACCACCGACAUCAGAGUUGGUACGGACACAGGUCAGCAGAGG